UCAAGACAUUUGACGGAAAAUAGUCAUUAGCUGAAUUUGGAGCAUUUAGGUGGUCAUAUUUGCUGAAAUUUGAAGCUAUAGCAAUAAAAAAAGAUCAUAAGUCAAGUUACAAAGUGAACUAGGACCCCUUGUUUGAUUAUAGCCUCAUUCUCAUAAAAUGUGACGUUUCAGAGAGUGCUUGAAAUUAUUUUGAGAUAGUGCACGAAAUGUGCCAAAAAGAAGGCACGAGCUCAAGUUUGGAAAAAAACAACACACACUUUUUGCGAUUUAUCUGAGAUUGGCUGGAGGGAGUGGAGGGUGGGGGGCAGCCCAGGAUGUAUGUUGCCUCUUGCCCAAGGUUCCAGCUCACCUGUGACCAGAAUGAGGAGAAGCAGUAGAGAAGCUCGAUAAAAAGAUGCAUAUCAUUUUCUCAAAUACAAUGCAAUGUAUACCAACACUCACAGGUUCAAUCUAAUCUGAUAAUUCAAGUCCAAUAAACAAUACUUUGUGUGCUGUUUAUAAAGCAGUCAGUCUCCUUGCAGACAUGAACAACCAAGUGUCGCAUACUAUUAGUGACAUUCAAACCGAAGUUAGGCCACCACAGUUCUUUUUUUCUUAAGAAUUGUCUGUUAAGAGCAGAUAAAGGUUUGAGGGAUGUUAUCAUUUUUGGCCUGCAAGCCUGUGGUGUAAUUGGCUCCAUGUGAGGAACCAAAGGUCAUUUCUGACCCCAGCAAUAUCGGCAAUCAACCUCUCCCUUUCUUUCGUUACAAGGUAUUGAUGCACAUGAGGAGUGGAAAGAAAAAGUAGCUCGUUCAAAUAAAACGUAAAGAAAUGUCACCAGAGACAAAUGCUACUGUUCAUGAAACUUUUUUAAAAACGAUGGAAUAACCUAUAUAACAUAUUUGCAUCCAAAUCUUUUUUUUUUUUUUUUCUGGUGUUGAUUCUCUGAUAAAUACAACGUGGUUGUUAGAUCCCAGAUGUCAGAAUUUCUCACAGCAUGUGAAUGUGCAACGUCUGUCAUCACACAUGCUAUUCAUAACUAUGCAAAUAAAAAAUCUAUGUUAAAAUGUGGCCAUAACCGUCUGAAAACACACGAUGCAACCAACAAACUACUAGUCACAUAAUGCCUUAUAUUAUUUUGUAUAUUUCAGGAACAUAUCUGCCUCUCCACUUUUGUCAUGUUGUCUCGGCUGAUAUCCCUCAGCAGCAGUGGUCCCCAGUUGUCAUGGCACCAGUCUUAAAUAACAGUCUUGUUCUCUCGUUCUCUCAUUAUUCUGCCGCAACCAAACCGUUCACUUUUAAAAUGGACUCCCACACUGAAUGCACUCUGACUUUCUAUUUGACAAAGUUGACGGAGGGAAGAAAAUGUUGUUUUUUUAUUAUUAUAUGCCCUUUCAAGAAUGACUCAUUGCAGAUAUUUAGAGAUGAUGUGAAAGAGUACCUGGAAAUGAGAACAAAAUUACCUGAAAUCCUUUGAGAAUACUUAUCUGUUUGUAUUGGUGGCCUGUGAUUGACUGGCAAAUAGUCCAGGGUGUAGCGUGCCUUUAGUCCAAAACCAGCUGGGAUGAGAUCCAGAACAGGGAUAUCCUCCAGGAACAGAUUAAAUGGUAUAGAAAAUAGAUGGAUGAAAAUGGUCUACUGACCGUUGUAGGCCGGGAUAGGCUCCAGCAUUCCCACAAGCCCCUUGUGAGGAUAAGCAGCUCAGAAAAUGGAUGGAUGGAUGUAAUUAAAAGUACAGCACAUCCAAGACAAAUUAUAACUUGUCAAAAAAACUGUUUAUACAAAACCCAACAUUCUGAACAGACUACCAAAAAAUAACAAUGAAAAAAAUGAACAGUUAACAAAUCAUUCUUGGAAAUGAAAUUAGAAAUCUUGCUUUUCCAAAUGUGUUGCUUCAUUGUCAUCAUUGCCUCCUAGUUCACGUUCGCCCAUGUUGAUGGUGUCCCUGUUUGGCCCACCUUUUAAUUACUGGAUGAAUGAAUGAAUGAAUUAAUUAAUCAAUCAAUCAAUGGAUCAAUCGAUCAAGCAGUUAAAUAGAUUGGGUGGGAAAACUGCUAAUGCCUGAAAUUCCAGGGUCUGAGCCAGCACAGAUUAUGACAGGUAUGCAUGUGAGUAAAUCUGUGCCGUUAGAUUUUGAAUCUGAAUUACGAACAAAGAAUUUGCAAUUGUUACACGACUAUGAUAUUUUCAACGGGGGAACUUGUAAAUGGAACCAACUGCAUUUCUAAAGUAACCUUCCUACACUGUUUAAAUAUAAUAUAUAGCACACUCUGCCAAAAAAAUACACCAGUCACCGAUGCUACCCAACGCUGUGUGCGAGGUGAAUGCAGUUAUACCCAAAGUUCCUUGAUGUUGGGGUACAUUUAAGUACAACCACAGAGUAUUAAACAGAGUGUGAUUGCACUUUAUUUUACCUUCAGAACUGAGAAAUAAAUGUGGUUUUGAACCGAGUCCUGAUGAUGCACAGAUGACUCAAGAGGUUAAUUCGAUCCAAAGGAAUUAUUCAGUCCACAUGUUUCAUCUUGUUUCAUUUUUAAAUUGAUGCUUCUGGGAGUGUGAUGAAAACAUAGCACUCAGUUGGGUCAAACGUCUCUGUUUAGAGACUGGGGGCAAGUUUGAUUGUAUGUGAGAAGUGGAGGAGAUGGAAACACUACAGCAAGAGUGUGAGACACUUCACUUUUAUGCCAUUAGGUUUAAAAACAGCGAGCGUCACUAUUGAUCUGAGGAAAAAUAUUGUAGAAGCAGCAGGAAAGUGACAUUUCAAAUGUCACAUUCUUUUAGGUGUACUGCUGUGAUGCUGAGCGAGUACUCAGGUUCGCCCUCUAAGUCAUUGCAUUGUCUUGCCUCUUGGACCCCACUCAUUCACAGCUGGUCACACGCUCUGGUUUUCCACUUCUCCAACUGGAGGUUCUUUAUGUUUCACUUUUUUAGCACUUACUGUUCAAUACUCCAUGCGCUUUCUCCAAAGGCCACAGUAGGCUGGAGGGCCCUCUCUUUUGAUGGGCUGUAUCAAUAUGGAGCAAUUUGAACAAAACAUUUAAUGGCAAGCUUUGUGGAGUUGAAAUGCCAUGCCAUCCAUCCAUUAUCUACCGCAUAUCCUAUUCAGGGUCACAGGUGAACAAAAGCCAUGCAAGGCAACUUUGGGUGGGAGGCAGGACUGGUCGCAGUCAGUCACUCAAUCAUACUGCACAGAUACACACAGAUAUGCGCAUUAUGCACAGUAUAUAAAACAGGAUGUAGUCACAAUAACAUCAAUCGUCAAUGUCUGAUUUCAGUGUAUUUGUAGUUAGUUUUUUCAAUUGUUGUUUUUCUUUUUUUAUUUUUUUUUUCAAAUAGUUCCAUCCAUGUGCAAAGAAUGUGAGCUGCAGCAAUACAGAAAGAGUCACCUUAUCACAAUGAGCUCUCCCCAAUGGGCAACAUGCACUUUCACAGAGAAUCCAUGACAUCUUUAGGAUUAACAUGAUGAUAGGCACGGCAUUUGCAAGGAGUACCCAUGUCCUUGGGCUAAAGCAUGAUACCAGCUAAGAAAAUCAAAAGAAAUUGGCCAGGAAAUCCUCAUCCUUGAGUGCAAUUUCCAGAUGCUUGAAGGUGCCACGUUCAUCAAAAAUUCUAUGGAGGUAUAAACAUGAUGGGGAAGGAUGUCCAGCCAUCACACCAUUGAGGAAGGCGAUGGGCUCUGUGACCCAGAAAUGAACGUCAACCCCGGAACAAAAGUGAAAGACCUUGUGAAUAUGCUGGAUGAAACUGAAUGGCAAGAAAAGAAGAUUGAUCAGGCAAAAAGUGAGCGGGACAGUACACCAAUCAUCAACCAGUGCCCCUUACUUGAGGGCAUCAUUAAAAACAAAGUUGGACAAACCAGAUGCAGUGAGUAGAACCUCCAUUUUUAAAUGGGAAGCAACAUCAGCUGUCACAGUUUUUCCCACAUUCCUGA